GACAGAGGGUGCGAGCGUUGUCCGGAAUCACUGGGCGUAAAGGGCGCGUAGGUGGCGGCCCAAGUCCAUGGUGAAAGCUCGAUGCUCAACAUCGAGUCGGCCACGGAUACUGGGUUGCUGGAGCACUGUAGAGGCAGAUGGAAUUCCGGGUGUAGCGGUGGAAUGCGUAGAGAUCCGGAAGAACACCGGUGGCGAAGGCGGUCUGCUGGGGUAAUGCUGACACUGAUGCGCGACAGCGUGGGGAGCAAACAGG
rnacentral:rRNA from 1 species